rnacentral:tRNA from 1 species
AGCAGUGUGGCUCAGUGGAAAGAGCACGGGCUUGGGAGUCAGAGAUCAUGGGUUCGAAUCCUGGCUCUGCCA